GUGCAGCUUAUCACCAAGCUAAUGGAGGUUAGUCUGAAACAUAUGCUCAAACCUCUUUUCUGUCACAUUUUGGGUCAGUUUGAAUGAUUAGGUUAACUGGUCUAGUUGUUGUUAUGUUUUUCUGGUUCUGUAUUGUCGAUUUUGUUUGGCCGUGAUAUUAUUGAUUGUAACAGUUAAGAGCUGCAGCCUGCAGUCCCGAGUGAUGAAAACUGUAGCAAUCUCUCAUUUCAUCUACUUCUCCUUCUCCUCAUCAAAGAGAGUGGUUCCCUCAUUUCUUCUAGUCUCUCCAGUCUUUGUAUAAUUCUAAAUGUACUGAAACAAGCAAGAAGUAUGAAGGACAAGUUUGAGAAGUACUGGG
rnacentral:lncRNA from 1 species